AGAGAAGCGUGGCUUGUUGAUCCGAAUUCAUUUUUGGGUAGGAAAGUCCGGACACCAUAGGGCAGUAUAGCGGAUAACAUCCGUCAUUUGUGAAAAUAGGACAAGUGCAACAGAAAGCAAGUACAGUUCGGCUGUAGUGAAACCAGGUAAACUCUAUACGGUGCAAUACCAAGUAUAUCAUCAGUCAAGGUCGGCUCGGCCAUUGAUGAGGGGUAGGUAGCAAAAGUUUUACAGCAAUGUAAAAUGCAGAUAAAUAACAAGCUUCAACAGAAUCCGGCUUACAGCGCUUCUCUAUUU
rnacentral:RNase_P_RNA from 1 species